CCUACGGGGGGCUGCAGUGAGGAAUAUUGGUCAAUGGGCGUAAGCCUGAACCAGCCAAGUCGCGUGAGGGAUGAAGGUUCUAUGGAUCGUAAACCUCUUUUAUAAGGGAAUAAAGUGUGGGACGUGUCCUAUUUUGUAUGUACCUUAUGAAUAAGGAUCGGCUAACUCCGUGCCCGCAGCCGCGGUAAUACGGAGGAUCCGAGCGUUAUCCGGAUUUAUUGGGUUUAAAGGGUGCGUAGGCGGCCUUUUAAGUUAGCGGUGAAAGUCUGGGGCUCAACCCUAGAAUUGCCGUUGAAACUGGGGGGCUUGAGUAUGUUUGAGGCAGGCGGAAUGCGUGGUGUAGCGGUGAAAUGCAUAGAGAUCACGCAGAACCCCGAUUGCGAAGGCAGCCUGCCAAGCCAUGACUGACGCUGAUGCACGAAAGCGUGGGGAUCAAACAGGAUUAGAUACCCUUGUAGUC
rnacentral:rRNA from 1 species